rnacentral:rRNA from 1 species
AGGGUUCGAUUCUGGCUCAGGAUGAACGCUGGCGGCGUGCUUAACACAUGCAAGUCGAACGAGGAAUUUUAAAUGAGACUUCGGUGGAUUUUAAAAUUCUUAGUGGCGGACGGGUGAGUAACGCGUGGGCAACCUGCCCUGUACAGGGGGACAACAGCUGGAAACGGCUGCUAAUACCGCAUAAGCGCACAGCAUCGCAUGAUGCCGUGUGAAAAACUCCGGUGGUACAGGAUGGGCCCGCGUUGGAUUAGAUAGUUGGCGGGGUAACGGCCCACCAAGUCGACGAUCAGUAGCCGGACUGAGAGGUUGAACGGCCACAUUGGGACUGAGACACGGCCCAG